UGGCGAGAGAAAAGGCAAACAGAGAAACUAACCUACUCGGCGCCGACAAAAAGAAUACGCUACUUCAGAUUGGAAAUGGUCGGAGGCAUCGAAGAAAGGAAAGACAUUGGUGGAUUAGCUUGCUUGACUUCAAUUCUUCGGUUGAGCGAGUAUUCCAUCGACUUCGACUCGACCUUAGCUCUAGCUAGUGUCAAGCACAUCAGGUUCCAGGGUGAG